UACAGAGGUCCCAAGCGUUGUUCGGAUUCACUGGGCGUAAAGGGUGCGUAGGCGGACGGGUAAGUCUGAUGUGAAAUCUCACAGCUUAACUGUGAAACUGCAUUGGAUACUAUCCGACUAGAGGAAUGGAGGGGAGACUGGAAUACUUGGUGUAGCAGUGAAAUGCGUAGAUAUCAAGUGGAACACCAGUGGCGAAGGCGAGUCUCUGGACAUUUCCUGACGCUGAGGCACGAAAGCCAGGGGAGCAAACGGG
rnacentral:rRNA from 1 species